AUUGGGACAUCUGGGAUAUUGGGGACAUUGGGGACAUUGUGGGGACAUGGGGCAGGUUCAUCUCGUCACCGUCAAAGUCGGCGUUGUAGGGCGUGGUGACACUGAGGGGACAUUGGGACAUCUGGGAUAUUGGGGACAUUGGGGACAUUGUGGGGACAUGGGGCAGGUUCAUCUCGUCGCCGUCAAAGUCGGCGUUGUAGGGCGUGGUGACACUGUGGGGACAUCGGGGACAUCUGGGAUAUUGGGGACAUUGGGGACAUCUGAAACAUUGUGGGGACAUGGGGCAGGUUCAUCUCGUCACCGUCAAAGUCGGCGUUGUAGGGCGUGGUGACACUGAGGGGACAUCAGGGACCUCAGGGACAUUGGGACAUUUGGGACAUUGGAGACAUUGGGGACAUGGUGGGGACAUGGCAGGGACAUGGGGCAGGUUCAUCUCGUCACCGUCAAAGUCGGCGUUGUAGGGCGUGGUGACA